rnacentral:rRNA from 1 species
CAAUAGCGUAUAUUAAAGUUGUUGCAGUUAAAAAGCUCGUAGUUGGAUUUCUGAUCGAGACAUCAGGUCGGGUCCGAGAGGAUCAUGUACUUUGAUUUUGUUUUGAUCAUUCUUGGGGAGAGCAUUUCUGGCAUUCAGUUGUCGGGAUUGGGAUCCUCAUCGUUUACUGUGAAAAAAUUAGAGUGUUCAAAGCAGGCCUCGGCCUCUGAAUACAUUAGCAUGGAAUAAUAAGAUAGGACUUUGGUGGUCUAUUUUGUUGGUUUGCACGCCAAAGUAAUGAUUAAUAGGGAUAGUUGGGGGUAUUCGUAUUCAAUUGUCAGAGGUGAAAUUCUUGGAUUUAUGGAAGACGAACUACUGCGAAAGCAUUUGCCAAGGAUGUUUUCAUUAA